rnacentral:misc_RNA from 1 species
AACGCACGAGACCUGCGGACCUGCGGAGGGAUCAUUACCGAGUUAUCCAACUCCCAACCCCUGUGAAUUAUACCUUUAAUUGUUGCUUCGGCGGGACUUCGCGCCCGCCGGGGACCCAAACCUUCUGAAUUUUUUAAUAAGUAUCUUCUGAGUGGUUAAGAAAAUGAAUCAAAACUUUCAACAAUGGAUCUCU